GAGCCGAAACCAAGAGUAGGAUGCUUAACCAACUGCACAACCCUGGUGACCUGAGAGAACACUGAAGGUCUAUUUCCUUAGCAACUUUCAAGUAUAUAAUACAAUGGUAUCAACUAUAAUCACCAGGCUUUACAUGAGAUUCCCAGAACUUGUUCAUCUUCUAACUGGCAAUUUGUACCCGGGGGCCAGCAUCUUGCCCUGUCUCCUGCCCUGACCCCGGGUGACAACCACUCUACUUUGUUUCUGUGACAGAAGCUCAUUCUUCAUCAUGACACUGCACUGCUGUUCCAAGAAGUGCCCUUCCUGGAAGGAGGCCUUCAAGGACUGUUGGGAGGACAGCCUGGUGGGGAGAGUCAUGACUACACCACCCCAAGGAGGUCUCAGAGUCCCAAUGUUCUGGGAGAAGCAUUAGGGCAUGGGGCGUCCCUCUGUGGGAGGGUGUCUGAAACCGUCUUCUCUGUUGUUGGCUGUGGUCAGGGGGAAUAGACCUUGGGCAGCCGGAAGACGAGGAGCAGCUAAAUUUGAAAAUUGCUACUGUCUAAAUUAGGAAGGGAACACUCAGCUCUCUUUUAAAUAUCAAGGCUGCUGACACCUUUAGGGCAGGGACAGACCCCAGAAUCUGGGUGGGGCCUGGCAGAGCUCAUGGACCUGGGAGACUUGGAGGCUCUGAGGUAGUCCUCUGCCUGCAGAGGGCUGGGUUCCUGUGGAGGGGAUCCCAGCCAGCAGGGGGCAGUGCUGGCCAGGGCAGCGUGGUCACUGAACCAUCCUCAUACCCCUUCCUGGGGUGUGGGGGUGUGGGGGGGGCGGACUGGGGAUGCUCAUGGUGGGGGACUUGGGGCUGCCCAGUGUUUGCUUUCUCCAGGCCUGGGGCUGCCAGAUCGAAUACAGGGUGCCCAGUGAUCAAGCCCUGCAUUGGGCUCCUCACUCCUCACUUAACUGAAAUUUACAACAAUUUUUUUUUUUUUUGUAUAAAUGCAUCCCCAAUAUCACUAAAAGUUCUUUUGAAAUCCGAACUUAAUUGGGUGUCCUGCAAACUGAUCCACGUCAAUGGAGGAUUCCUUCAAGAUGGAUGGAGGACCAAAAGAACAAUAACAACAGUUUCUUGGGCGAAGCAGUUGCUGGCAGAGCUAGAGCUCAUUCAGUCACGUGACCCUCCCGGCGCCUGCCUGCUCGCAUUCCCUCCCACCUUCUUCCUCAGAAGCCCUAAGAUGGUCUCAGAGACCUCAGGGGCCCCAGUUUAUUCUCCAGCCUCGGCCCUGAUAGGAGGCGAAGAUGAUUUUUCUUGUGGGCUUUAGCUUUUUGCUUUCCUACGAGAGCGUGCUGUGUGACCAAGUGACCCAGAGCCCCCCAGACCAGAUAGUGGCCAGUGGCAGUAGCGUGAAGCUGUUCUGUACCUAUUACACUUCAGAAUCAAACCCUGUAUUGUACUGGUACCGGAUAUGGCCAGAUCACUCCUUUCAGUUUAUCCUUUACCGGGAUAAAACUCUAUCCCACAAUGCAGAUUUUACUGGGGGUCAGUUUUCUGUGCUGCACAAUCCGUCCCAGAGAACCUUCCACUUGGUGAUCUUCCUGGUGGAGCCUGAAGACAGCGCCACUUACUUCUGUGCCUUGAACCCCCCACAGUGACUCAGGUGCCCAGGAAGUCUGAACAUAAACCCCCGGGCACAGCCCCCUCUAGAUACCUCUCAGGGCAGCUCACGUCCCCAGAUAUGCGAUCCUUCUUCCCAGUUAUUUUGUGCUCUGGCCUGGCCUUCAGAGGUGCCCCAGGGGGUCUGCUGAAUAAUAAAAAGCCAGCUUCCCCAGGCUUCAGAUGGAGCAGAGCACCUCCCCCCUUCUGACUCAGUGGGCCCUGGUGGUGGCAGAGGGGGAGAGAGAUGUCUGAAGAAUUCUCAUCUUUGCGUCCCCAGUGCCCAGCUCUCUCAUGCCUCACCGAGCAGGGCUGACAAGUACGUGCUGUGAGUCCUGUGAAGAUACUAGAAUGGGGCAUGUGAAAGGCCAGGCUAGGGAGAGCUCAUCAGGAGGGUCUUUAUUUUAGUCUCCAUCAUUUAUCCCUUAUUGUGAUUCAUUCUGUUUUCUUUUGAAGACUCAAAAUUAGACACAAAGUUACUUCAAAAAAUUUCCCAAUUCACCUUUUUUUCCUGCGUCUUCUUGUAUAGUUACCUUAUUUUUCUCGAAUGCUCUUUGACACCACCAUUUUAUUUACUUUAUUUGGAGAACAUUUUUCUUUCACUGGAGAGCCUUGAGAUACUCCCAGCAGGUUGUCUGUGAUUCCCAGAACACCAGCUUCAAAGCCCCUGAGUCUGGAGCUCAGGGGUGUGUCCAAGGAAGACCAUCAUCUUCAGGGAAAGCCAAUGGAUCAGAGGGUGGCUCAUUUGUAUGCUAAACAGAGGACAACCCUGAAGUCCAGUCCAGCUGAAAUCAAAUCAACACCUUGUCCUUGUCUUGGGGGUGCUCUCCCUGGUGGAGCCUGAAGACAGCGCCAUUCUACUCCAGUAGAACGAACUUCGGGCUGGCGCUCUUGAUAAUGUGGUUCAGCCCACAGCCCCGUCCUUGCCUCAGUGCAUGACUUCAGACAAGCAUCGGGGAAGCCACUGAUAACAGACGCUGAUAACUCUGGCAGUAACGGCUUGAAAAACCACACGUUCUGCUCGUUCACCUGUCUUCAGACUUGCGACAUUUCUUGCUCGCUCUACUGACCUUGGUGACAUGUUGUCUGGUUGUGUUUCAAGGGAGUUAUGAGAUUGCUCUCCCUUGUAGACCCACCCCUAACUCUCAGUCUUGGAAAACCAGCAUUGCUAAGAAGAUGGCUCUUGGAUUCCCGACUGUUCCAGAGUCAAGGUCUUCACAUUCCCCAGUGCUACUUUAAGGACAGACAGGGUCUGGCAUAACAAGGGGUGAGGGACCAGCGUGAAGCCCUGAUGAGCUGCCAGGGAUUUAUGGUACAGUCAGCACUGGAAUGAACAGCUAUGGCUGGCGAUUGCCUAAAAACAAGUCGAUCUCUCUUUGAAUUUGUCUUCUUCAACUGCAAAGCCGAGCACUCAGGCAGAUCUCUCUAGGGACUUGGAUUCAGAAAUUCCAUAUGAGAUGGCUCAUAUAACUCUUACCAUAGAAUCAACAUGAACCAGGACAUGUUCUGAAGAGACACCCUUUUUGUGUUCCCCACAUGCGGAUGCGGGAACAUGUUGAAAAGCCAGUUUCAUCCGGGGGAGUGAGAGGUCAGCAGCUGGGGGUCCCUUCUGGUCCAGUCAACUUCCUGGUGUCCUUCCUGAGUCCCUGAGUAAAGAGGGGUGGCUCCCCGAUGUGCUCAUCCCCUGGGGCUUGGCAGCCCGGCUGACGAUUUCCCAGGGAAAUGCUCUGCAGUUUUUGUAUGGGUCUCUGUGGCUUUUGUAGCACUGUGGGUAUCCCACCGAUCACAGUACUUCAGAGCUUUACAAAAACCUCCCCUGGUUUCACUCUAUGUGGCCUCUGAGCACCCCUGGGGCCUGAUGUUUGCUUCAAGUCAGGCUGGCAAGAUGAAAGGGUUUUGGCUGCCUGCGGGGUGGGGGGUGGGGGGGCAGGCAGGCUUGCCUGGUUGCUUCUGUCUCAGGCUUUUCUGCCUUGUUGGCUGGAUCUGCCCUGGAGUUUGAGACCAGAAUGUUCAUUCAGAAGUCAUCACGUCCGUUUCCAUCUGUGUUUUCUAGCCAGUCUCCUCUCAGAUGGUUUCCCAUAGAGGAAUGGUCAGACUUCUGGAUGUCUCAAAGGGAUUCUACAUGCUGUGGGUUGGGCAGAAGAUGUCUGUGGUCGGUGAGACUUCUGUGACCUGCUAAGCCUCCCAUUCACCUCUGCCUGCCCCACUUUACACCUGAACAGUGUUAUAUAGUUGACAGAGGGCUGUCAUGUAAAUUUAAAAUUUCAUCCUCUCCAUUGACUCUCUGGUUGCUAAAUCCAGGGCCAGUGGGCCAUAUGGUGCUUUGUGUGAUGCCGAAAAGGCAACCACAAAUGCAGGGCAAAUGCAGAGGCAGCCCCUCGGGCUGGUUCAAGCUUGGCAAACAGAUGGCACCUUUGUGUGCUUUAUAAAAGCGACCCCUUUCUCCAGCUGAUGCAGCCCCGCACCAGGGCCUUGGCUCGGCUGGCAGGGCGAGAGCUGAAUUUAGCCUUGCUUGUCCCUUCAGCUGAGUGUCCUUGUGCAAGGCGGGGCCCAUACCACAAGAUACGGCUACGCUGGCCCAAUUCAGUGGAUACUUGUUAUUUAUAUUCUUGUCUGAGCUCUGGGUUAUGACAAGUUAUUCCCUUUUUGAAAACUCCUCUGGGGCCCUCUACACACUAGUCCUGGUUUGUCUGUGAUCUCUGUGUCUAUCACUGUGAAAACAAAGUGGCAUUAUUAAAUGAUAAACAUUUAAGGAAAGUGUGCAUUUUGCUGCUGUUGCUAUCAA